GAAGGGCGCUUUCGUGUGUCGCUAUGGAUGGACCCGCGUGUGCAUAACGCUAGUUGGUGAGGUAACGGCUCACCAUGGCCACAAUGGAUGACCGACCUGAGAGGGUGAUCGGCCACACUGGGACUGAGACACGGCCCACACUCCUACGGGAGGCAGCAUGGGGGAAUCUUCGGCAAUGGACGAAAGUCUGACCGAGCAACGCCGCGUGAGUGAAGAAUGUUUUCGGAUCGGAGGAUCUGUUGUUAGAGAAGAACAAGGACGUUGUAACUGAACGUCCCCUGACGGUAUCUAACCAGAAAGCCACGGCUAACUACGUGCCAGCAGCCGCGGUAAUACUUAGGUGGGCAGCGUUGUACCCGGAUUUAUUGGGCCGUAAAGCGAGACGCAAGGCCGGUUUCUUUAAGUCUGAAUUGUGAAAGCCCCCCGGGCCUCAACCGGGGGAGGGUGCAUUGAAACUGGAAGAAGCUUGAGUGCUGACAAAGGAGAGUGGAAAUUUCCAUGUGUAGCGGUGAAAUGCGUAGAUAUAUGGAGGAACACCCGUGGCCAAAGCGGCUCUCUGGUCUGUAACUGACGCUGAGGCUCGAAAGCGUGGGGGAGCAAACAGGAUUAGAUACCCUGGUAGUCCACGCCGUAAACGAUGACUGACUAAGUGUUUGGAGGGUUUCCGCCCUUCUGUGCUGCACCAAACGCAUUAAACACUCCCCCUGGGGAAUACGACCUGCAAUUGUUGAAACUCAAAGGAAUUGACGGGAGCCCGCACAAUCGGUGGAGCAUGUGGUAUAAUCCUAAGCUACUCUUAGAACCUAACCAAGUCUUGACCAUCCUUUGACCACUCUACAGAUACAGCUUUCCCUUCGGGGACUAAGGACCAGGUGCUGCAUGGGUUGUCGUCAGCUCGUGAUCUUGAGAUGUUGGGUUAAGUCCCGCACCUAGCUGCACCCUUACCUUUAGUGCCAUCAUCAUGGGCAAUUCAACAAGACUGCCCGUGACAAAAACCGAAGGAAGGUGGGGGAUGACGUCAAAUCAUCCUGCCCCUUUAUGACCUAGGGUACCCCCCUGGUUCAAAUGGAACUACAAAGAGCAAGUAGUCCGGGAGGUCCAACAAAUCUUCUAAAGCUUCUUUCAGUUCGGAUUGCAGGUUGCAACUUGCAUUCAUGAAGCUGGAAUCGCUAGUAAUCGCGGAUCAGCACGCCCCGGUGAAUACGUUUCCGGGCCUUUACACCACCCCCGUCACACCACGAGAAUUGGUAACCCCAGAAGUUGGGGAGGUAACC
rnacentral:rRNA from 1 species